UUAAGUGACUGACAGGUUUCUUUGAAAAAUACUUUCUUAUUGUAAGGACGAGAAAGACAUUGUGGACAAAACAGGACACCCCCCAAUAAUCUUUAGUUACAAUAUUAUAGUUAGUUAAAUGGUCUGAUUGUUCAAAUAUGUAUUUUCUUUGACUGUUGUUAAAUAAUGUGUGCCCCAGUCUCCAAAAAUGACAUAGUGCAGGAAGGGUAGUUAUUCCUCCGUUACACCACAAGAGGGCGUAUCCCCUAAAAUGAGCAGCUCUAGCGGGAGUAAAUAAGCCCACCCACUAACCAUAAGGCUGUGCGCCUAUAAGAGUUGUGUGAGACUGCAAAAGUGUGUAACAUUGUGCUAUGUCCAUAUAUAUAUAUUUGCAGGUAACCUACGCAUAUGACUACGUGCAUGACAUUGAUAAGGGGAACAAGCAGCCUUGAGAAGAACAGAUUCUACCGGCAACAAUCUGGGAGAGCUGCACUCCCAUCAUAUAACCACACACAAUGUAUAAUCACGCUUGCACAGUACAAUCACACUUUGUAACCAGUUAUAGUAAUUUUUCAUAGGUAAUACAGCAACAAGCUUUAUGAAUAUUCAUGUGUGUAACCAAUAAAAACAACCUGCAGGGGGAAAGCAAGUUGAAGUGGGUUGGAGACAACUGCUUCCCUCUCGCGAGUGAAAACUUGA